rfam:Streptomyces sp. MP131-18 scaf_01, whole genome shotgun sequence.
CUUCACCGAACCCAGCCACAACGGCCGGCCUUCUGGCCGGUCCCGGCCGUAGGCCGCCAGCAGCGCCUGCGCCUC